UACGAAGGGGGCUAGCGUUGUUCGGAAUUACUGGGCGUAAAGCGCACGUAGGCGGAUAUUUAAGUCAGGGGUGAAAUCCCAGAGCUCAACUCUGGAACUGCCUUUGAUACUGGGUAUCUUGAGUAUGGAAGAGGUAAGUGGAAUUCCGAGUGUAGAGGUGAAAUUCGUAGAUAUUCGGAGGAACACCAGUGGCGAAGGCGGCUUACUGGUCCAUUACUGACGCUGAGGUGCGAAAGCGUGGGGAGCCAAACAGGGAUUAAG
rnacentral:rRNA from 1 species